AGAGAACCUCAGACCGACCCUAACGUCCCCGCUGUGAGGCCCGCGGGCUGUGGAAUCACGCACGUCACCUGGCCCCAGCAGGGCGGCCAGCUGAGGGGGAUUCUUUUUAAUUUUAUUUUCCUUUAUUUUCUGAAGUUAAGGCUGAAUCUCGGCUUCAGUGCUUUUGCCAACGUCUCUCCACUGACAGGAACCAGCAAACUUCAGGACUCAAAUGAGCGUCUUAAUUUAUUGAUGCAAAACAGGUCUGAUGGUCGCCCCCAAUCCUCGGCGCGCUCGGUCCCCCACGCCCCCAGCUUCGGUCCCUCCAUUUGAUCUCAGGGUCAAAAAGUGGAACAUUGAGGCAAAUUGACAAAUAAUUAAGACAUGGUACUUAAGAUAUCCUUCUGAACCGCUUGUGCCCACCCACUCUGUACACUGCAUUCUGAUCGACUUCCACUCUUCCUGGAUGAUUGGGAGAAUCAGAGCAGACUGUUGGGAAGAACUCGGAGCAUCUUCACCUGGAUUUUCACGGGUACUCGUCAUCUCUUUCCUGGAAGGCUGUGCCCACCUCCUGACUGGCUUUCCGUUUCCAGUCUUUCCUCCCUCGUAUCUACUCUCCACACCAUCACCAAUUUUCAGGUAAAAUCAAGAAUCCCAGAAACCAGGCCCAGUUAUUCCUGCCUGUCCCCAUGGUUUGAAGACUGCAGCGUUUCUUACACUGAUGCCAGAAAGUACUGUUCUUUAGCUGAGCUCAUGGGGCCUUCUUGGGUGGAGCACGUUCUCUUCAUUUUCCUCCCCUGCCAGUCUUCAAAGGGCACCUUAUACUUUUGUCCCCUAAACAAACUAUAUUAUUUUCAAUGUUAGGGCCUUUGCCUAUGCUUUUUAUUGGGAAUAUUCUCUCCUUUCUCUUCAUUUGACUGACUUCUGUGUUCAUUCUUUAACUCAGCUCACGGGUCAUCUCCUCCUGGAAGUUGAGGCUGGCUCUUACGUGUCCUCACAGCACUUAACACUCCACACCACUGUGUUUUCCUUAUAUGUCUUCUUCCAACUAGAAUAAGCCUUCUCUGAGGCCAGGGACACUGCCAUUUUCAUCUCUGUAGUCCGUAUGGUCUGAAUGUUCUAUCUCCCAGAAUUCAUUUAUUGACGGCCCAAUUCCCAGCUAUGUGGAGGCGGGGCAUUUGGGAAAUAAUUAGGUUGAGAUGAGGUCAUGAGGGUGGGGUGCCCAUGGUGAGAUUAGUGCGCUGGUAAGAAGAAGGACACAGAGAACUCGCUGUCCUCGUGCACACAGCAAGAAGGUGGCAUCUACGAGCUAGGAAACCAGUUCUCACCAGGAAGUGAAGCGGCUGGCACCCUGAUCUUAGAAUUCCCACCUUUCAGAGCCACGAGGACUGGCUGUCUAUUUAUGCCACGUGGUCUAUGGUAUACUGUUGUCUCAGUCUGAGCUAAGGCAUGCCCUCAACUGCUAGUAAGUAUCUGGCACACGGGGGACACUUAAAAAUACAUUUUGAAGUGAAUGUGAAUGUCAUGGUAGGAGCUAAUUUUCACCGCUGGACAAAGAACGCCAAGCACGUGCACGGUCUGCAGAUAAUGCAUCUAGCCGCAGGAGCCCUGUGGCUUCCUGCACUUCAUAUUAACAAGGGGCCCCCAAAUCAGAAAGGUCUUAUUGUAGUUUUGAAUGACUUGUAUUUAGUUUAGACAUGCAUUUGCAAAAGUAUUCAAAUAAAAAUAACUUUCACAUGUGAAACACUU